rnacentral:rRNA from 1 species
UACAGAGGGGGCAAGCGUUGUUCGGAAUUACUGGGCGUAAAGGGCGCGUAGGCGGUCAGCACAAGUCAGUUGUGAAAUCUCCGGGCUUAACUCGGAAAGGUCAACUGAUACUGUGCGACUAGAGUGCGGAAGGGGCAACUGGAAUUCUCGGUGUAGCGGUGAAAUGCGUAGAUAUCGAGAGGAACACCUGCGGCGAAGGCGGGUUGCUGGGCCGACACUGACGCUGAGGCGCGAAAGCCAGGGGAGCAAACGGG